rnacentral:rRNA from 1 species
CAGUAGCCGCGGUAAUACGUAGGUGGCAAGCGUUGUCCGGAAUUAUUGGGCGUAAAGGGCUCGCAGGCGGUUUCUUAAGUCUGAUGUGAGAGCCCCCGGCUCAACCGGGGAGGGUCAUUGGAAACUGGGAAACUUGAGUGCAGAAGAGGAGAGUGGAAUUCCACGUGUAGCGGUGAAAUGCGUAGAGAUGUGGAGGAACACCAGUGGCGAAGGCGACUCUCUGGUCUGUAGCUGACGCUGAGGAGCGAAAGCGCGGGGAGCGAACAGGAUUAGAUACCCCAGUAGUCCCUGUCUCUUAUAC